GUUUGAUAAAUUUGAUUAAAAAUGAAAGCAAUCGUUGUUCUUCUUAUCAUGGCUCUCGUCUUAUGCCUUUAUGCCAUGAUGACCGUGGAAGGUGCUUGCCAAUUUUGGAGUUGCAACAGUAGUUGUAUUUCGAGAGGAUAUAGACAAGGGUAUUGCUGGGGAAUACAGUAUAAAUAUUGCCAGUGUCAAUAAAAUCUUUCUUAAUAUCUCUGUAGUUGAUUACCACUGAAAUUUGUUUUUAAGUAACUCAACGUUGUAACGUCUUGCAGAUAUGUAUAUCCCUGAAUAAUAAUUUGUAAUUAAUAAAGAAAUAUUCUUUAAAGUUA